rnacentral:rRNA from 1 species
CCUACGGGUGGCAGCAGUGAGGAAUAUUGGUCAAUGGACGCAAGUCUGAACCAGCCAUGCCGCGUGCAGGAAGACGGCUCUAUGAGUAGUAAACUGCUUUUGUACGAGGGUAAACGCAGAUACGCGUAUCUUUCUGCACGUAUCGUACGAAUAAGGAUGGGCUAACUCCGUGACAGCAGCCGCGGUAAUCCGGAGGAUUCAAGCGUUAUCCGGAUUUAGUGGGUUUAAAGGGUGCGUAGGCGGUCGGAUAAGUUAGAGGUGAAAUCCCGAGGCUCAACUUCGGAAUUGCCUCUGAGACUGUUCGGCUAGAGAGUAGUUGCGGUAGGCGGAAUGUAUGGUGUAGCGGUGAAAUGCUUAGAGAUCAUACAGAACACCGAUUGCGAAGGCAGCUUACCAAGCUACGUCUGACGUUGAGGCACGAAAGCGUGGGGAGCAAACAGGAUUAGAUACCCGAGUAGUC